UACAUACUCCCUCCGUUCCGAAUUACUUGUCUUAGAUUUGUCUAGAUACCGAGGUAUCUACACUAAAAUGAGUCUAGAUACAUCCGUAUCUAGACAAAUUCAAGACAAGUAAUUCGGAACGGAGGGAGUACAUA
rfam:Triticum aestivum genome assembly, contig: Triticum_aestivum_CS42_TGACv1_scaffold_377513_5AL